rnacentral:tRNA from 1 species
GGAGAUAUAGCUCAGUUGGUGGAGUCCUUGCCUUGCAAGCACAAGGCCCUGGGUUCAAUCCCCAGCACCACCA